CAGCAGCCGCGGUAAUACGGAGGGAGCUAGCGUUGUUCGGAAUUACUGGGCGUAAAGCGCGCGUAGGCGGUUACUCAAGUCAGAGGUGAAAGCCCGGGGCUCAACCCCGGAACUGCCUUUGAAACUAGGUGACUAGAAUCUUGGAGAGGUCAGUGGAAUUCCGAGUGUAGAGGUGAAAUUCGUAGAUAUUCGGAAGAACACCAGUGGCGAAGGCGACUGACUGGACAAGUAUUGACGCUGAGGUGCGAAAGCGUGGGGAGCAAACAGGAUUAGAUACCCGCGUAGUCCCUGUCUCUUAUAC
rnacentral:rRNA from 1 species